rnacentral:snRNA from 1 species
GUGCUCACUUUGACAGCACAUAUACCAAAACUGGAACUAUUCAGAGGUUAGCACGGCCCCUGCGCAAGGAUGACAUGCGUUUAUUUGUGAAGCAUUUUAUAUAUUU